rnacentral:lncRNA from 1 species
CGAGAGGUGGGCACCCGUCCCGGACACUUUACAGUAGGCUGGUUACCUCCUGUUACAAAUUCAUAUAUGAAGAAAAGCAAUCAGGUGGUCCUGAAUGGAAAAUUGCUGAAUUUAUUUACAACUACAAAAAGAAGAAUAAAACGGAACCCCACUAAUCUACAGACGGAAACGGAUGAGGUGGCUAAAAACAGACCUCCCUCCAUCUUCUGCCAGCUUGCUACCUAUGGCCCGGCUAGCUGUCUGAAUCUCACUGGACCCUUAUGAUCACUCGGCUAAGCAUGCCUCUCUUUAAUGUCAA